rnacentral:misc_RNA from 1 species
UCCGGUUUGUCACCGGCGGUCUCCUUAGAGUUCCCACCAUUACGUGCUGGCAACAUGCGACGGGGGUUGCGCUCGUUGCGGGACUUAACCCAACAUCUCACGACACGAGCUGACGACAGCCAUGCAGCACCUGUGACGCACGCCUCGCGGCCGCCGGCUUUCGCCGGCUGUAAGCGCCAUGUCAAGCCCUGGUAAGGUUCUUCGCGUUGCAUCGAAUUAAACCACAUACUCCACCGCUUGUGCGGGCCCCCGUCAAUUCCUUUGAGUUUCAGUCUUGCGACCGUACUCCCCAGGCGGCGAACUUAACGCGUUAGCUUCGAUACUGCGUGCCAAAUUGCACCCAACAUCCAGUUCGCAUCGUUUAGGGCGUGGACUAC